UCUCUCUCUUACUUCUGCAUCUACCCACGGUAUUUUCUUCUCUCUCUAUCAACUUCUCCAUCUCCACUGGAUUCUCCCAUUUUUCCUAACACUCUCUUACUUUUUCAAACUUCUCACUCCGAACCUCUUUGGCCUUUCUUCUUCUCCCGGAGAAAGAAACCCUAAUCCUUUUUCAAAAUAAGGAAGAUGAACCAAUUUAUUGCAGAAUACUCUCUCUCUCUCUCUAAAAUACAGAACGGGUUUUUUCUCUAGAGUGGGUUUAUCUCAAGACAAGAUUUUUCUCUAUGAUUGGAGUGAGUUUAUCUAAUGGGGUGGUGUUCUGCUUUGCUCCUGCUAAAGGGAUGGUUUGCAGUUAUUCUUCCAUGCCAAUGCAAGGCUUUUGUGAAGAUUCAUUCUAGAGGAUAAGAAUCCAAAGCUAAAGCCAUUGAUCUCAAGCCCCUCAUCAACAUUACCUUUUGAGCUUAACUAAUAGCCUAAAUAGUGUAUGAUGGCAUGAGUCUUGAGGAUUUUUCAGAAUUGUUCAGACGGUGGUGGAAGGGCUACUCUAAGCAAAGCAAGCGCGUCUUUGCCUUACUUGACCAUGAUUUGGGCAAGAUCUCAAUAUGCAAAUGACAUGCACAAAUCUAACAUGAAGUGUCUCCUUAAGUAGUUUGUGUUGGUUGUCUAAAGGGUAAAAUUCUGGUUUAUAAUCCCCAGGAGGUUCAACAAGAGUGCAUCCCUUGUUUGUGAACUUUAUUAUUCUUAUAUGUUGAAUGCACCUCUUUCACGCA